GGUUUGUGAAACAUGCUGCUGUUGGCAAUAUGCCAUGCACCGUAAGGGAUAACAGGUCACACAGAAGUAAUUAUGUCCGGCAGAUUAGGUAGGUUGUGCACAGUAAGGAGGUGCCACAGGGAUGGGGAGGGGUUGAUUAAUAGCGUGCCAUUGGGUGCCAUCUACAGGGUCUUUUGAAACGGUCACAUAAAGGUGUGUGAGCUAUUUUGUCACCAGAUUAUAUGGUGAGCCUGUGUCUG